UAAGGAAUAUUGGUCAAUGGGCGGAAGCCUGAACCAGCCAUGCCGCGUGCAGGAUGACUGCCCUAUGGGUUGUAAACUGCUUUUGUCCAGGAAUAAACCUAGAUACGUGUAUCUAGCUGAAUGUACUGGAAGAAUAAGGAUCGGCUAACUCCGUGCCAGCAGCCGCGGUAAUACGGAGGAUCCGAGCGUUAUCCGGAUUUAUUGGGUUUAAAGGGUGCGUAGGCGGCCUAUUAAGUCAGGGGUGAAAUACGGUGGCUCAACCAUCGCAGUGCCUUUGAUACUGAUGGGCUUGAAUCCAUUUGAAGUGGGCGGAAUAAGACAAGUAGCAGUGAAAUGCAUAGAUAUGUCUUAGAACUCCGAUUGCGAAGGCAGCUCACUAAGCUGGUAUUGACGCUGAUGCACGAAAGCGUGGGGAUCGAACAGGAUUAGAUACCCUGGUAGUCCACGCCCUAAACGAUGAUAACUCGAUGUUGGCGAUAGACAGCCAGCGUCCAAGCGAAAGCGUUAAGUUAUCCACCUGGGGAGUACGCCCGCAAGGUGAAACUUAAAUGAAUUGACGGGGUCAUAGCUGUUUCCU
rnacentral:rRNA from 1 species